ACCCAGACUCCUACGGGAGGCAGCAGUGAGGAAUAUUGGUCAAUGGGCGCGAGCCUGAACCAGCCAAGUAGCGUGAAGGAUGACUGCCCUACGGGUUGUAAACUUCUUUUAUAAAGGAAUAAAGUGAGGCACGUGUGCCUUUUUGUAUGUACUUUAUGAAUAAGGAUCGGCUAACUCCGUGCCAGCAGCCGCGGUAAUACGGAGGAUGCGAGCGUUAUCCGGAUUUAUUGGGUUUAAAGGGUGCGCAGGCGGAAUGUCAAGUCAGCGGUAAAAUUUCGGGGCUCAACCCCGUCGUGCCGUUGAAACUGGCGUCCUUGAGUGAGCGAGAAGUAUGCGGAAUGCGUGGUGUAGCGGUGAAAUGCAUAGAUAUCACGCAGAACUCCGAUUGCGAAGGCAGCAUACCGGCGCUCAACUGACGCUCAUGCACGAAAGCGUGGGUAUCGAACAGGAUUAGAUACCCUUGUAA
rnacentral:rRNA from 1 species